rnacentral:rRNA from 1 species
CCUACGGGAGGCAGCAGUAAGGAAUAUUGGUCAAUGGACGAAAGUCUGAACCAGCCAUGCCGCGUGAAGGAUGAAGGCCCUCUGGGUUGUAAACUUCUUUUAUAGGGGACGAAAAAAGGGAAUUCUUUCCCACUUGACGGUACCCUAGGAAUAAGCACCGGCUAACUCCGUGCCAGCAGCCGCGGUAAUACGGAGGGUGCAAGCGUUAUCCGGAUUUACUGGGUUUAAAGGGUGCGUAGGUGGGCAGUUAAGUCAGUGGUGAAAUCUCCGAGCUUAACUCGGAAACUGCCAUUGAUACUAUCUGUCUUGAAUAUCCUGGAGGUGAGCGGAAUAUGUCAUGUAGCGGUGAAAUGCUUAGAUAUGACAUAGAACACCAAUUGCGAAGGCAGCUCACUACGGGAUUAUUGACACUGAGGCACGAAAGCGUGGGGAUCAAACAGGAUUAGAUACCCUGGUAGUCCACGCCCUAAACUAUGGAUACUCGACAUCAGCGAUACACUGUUGGUGUCUGAGCGAAAGCAUUAAGUAUCCCACCUGGGAAGUACGAUCGCAAGAUUGAAACUUAAAGAGUAGUUGGCGUGNGAGAGCGACGACGACGACGACGGAGGGAGGAGG